ensembl:lncRNA
CCCUGGGUUCAGGCACCAAUUAGCCUCAACACCCUGAUGAGCCCCAUCUGGGACCCUGUCAUCCCACCCACCUGGGGCACAGGUGCUCCAUUUAAGUUCAAGCCCAGGCCCUUCCUGCUUUUCUGCCCUGGGUAGUGCUGGGAGCAUUUCUCUGGAGGAAUUUCUACUGUUGGGACCUUGUUCCAGUUCUCAACCACCACUGCUGUCCUUCUGAAGGUGAUCCCCACCGUGUAGAAAUGAAAGUAUUUCUGGGGUUUGAUCUGGAGUCCUCUGAAGUCGGAGAAAGACUCUUUCCUCAAAGUGAUCCUGUAGCAGUUAGUACUGGACUGAGAGAGGCUUAAUAAUUUACAGAGCAAAAUUCCCACUGCUGUCUGUUUGUUAUUCAAACAUGCUCUGAGCUGAGGGGUGCAGGGAGACAUCCACAAAUAGAGAUUGCCUUGACUUCAGUACAGAAGCUGGAGCUGGAGGUUGCUCAGCUGAUGGCUUCCUUCCCGUCGACUCUGACUGCCUGACUCCUUAAAGCCUUCCCAUGGGUUUUGCCCACAUUCCCAGCACUGGUGUGGGAUCCAUGCAGCCUGAUGUGCACGGGGCUUUGUGCUCUGAGUGAUGCUCAUGUCUGUGCCGGGAGAGCUGCUGCACUGCUGGAGGCAAUGAGGUUUCCUCGUUGCACUGGUGAAGUUAGGUUAUUCAGACAAAUUUGGCUUCUUGUUUGUUUUUAUCCCAAGGAACAGCUCAGCCAGGUAAUAGGCAUCACACAAUCUAUUUCAGUAACAAGCCAAAACCCAAAUCCCAGCUUGUUUUUCUUCCUUCAGGGCUCUUUGUUAGUGUCCAAACAAUGACUUUGAAGCUCCGCUUCCACAGCAGUAAGAGAUGAUCAGUUGUGUUUUUCAAAGUAUUCUUUUUUCCUUAUUUAUAUAACCUUGUCACUCAGGUGUAACCUUCCCCAUAUCUUCCUUUAAUAAACAGCAGUGUGGCAAUCCUGCUCGUCUGCUCUAAGACCUCCUACUCCUCGCUUUUGGAGCGAUGUGGUGGUGUUAUUCUCACUUUGGGGUUACUCAGCAGCUGUAUGACCUGGGGUAAUGCUGCAGUGCUAUGUCAUGAUGAGGACACCAACCUGAGUGGCAUCUUCUCCUCAGGCCUUACCUGGAAACAGCUUUCUGCAAAGUAAUGUUCAGCUCCUGCUUGCGUACUGAUGGCUCAUUGGUCAUAUGUCUGCCCAGACCUGUCCAGAUGUAACGCUCUGGCUCUCUUAAUCUCAUCCAGAGGUGCUGCAUCUCACCAGCUUAUGCUGAACACUGCUGAAUGAGCCCUCAGACCCCUCCCCAGUCUUCCUCCUUGAUUUGCCUCUGAUACCAUGGUUAUCAUUCAGGUCAGCAUCCCUUUGCUGCUUUUGACUUGGAUUUCCCUCUGGGUCCUGAUGUUUAAACUACUGAAUUUUGCAGUCUUUCUGCCUGAAAUGCAAAAAAUAAAACCUCAGCCCUUCUGAUCCACCUGUGCAGGCUGGGUGCUGGUGCCUGUUAGUGUACUUGAGCCUGAUGGUUCCUUCUGGUGCUACCAGGUGAGCACAGCACAGGAAGGCUUUGAUACCUGCAGUAGGUCUGGAGCUUGGCCAACUGGCUGCAGGUUUGAUGUGGGCUUGUUCAUGGAUGCCUUUAAGCCAACCCAGAUUUCGUCAUUAACUGUGCUUCCAGACCAACAGAAAACCUGGAGAAGUACCACAGAUCUCUUCUUCCCCUCACAAAGACGUUUUUGGUGAGCUCAGACAUGCCAGAAACUUGGGAAUGGGCUCUCUGCUGCUGCCCCAUCCUUGCCUUUGGCCUCAGUGUUGCAGUCCUGCCCUGUUCACCUCAGCUGAGAUGUUCCUCUAAUCUUGUUUCUGCCUACUUGCUGUGACCAUCUCUGCCUACGUGUCCAUCCCUCUCACAGUGCUGCAGUGCCAGAAAAGCUAUUGUCUUUGAUUCUGAUGACUCUCCAAGUGUAUUCCUUCCCUGAUGACCGUGUGUGCCCUUGAUUACCAUCUCUGCAGCCAAGCUAUGACAAACUACGUGCUAGAUUCCUUAUGCUGGUCCUUUACUCUAAUGCUUUUCUCCCACAAACCUUGAUCCCAGGCAGCAUGCUAUACAGUGGGAUGAUUGCCCAUAGGGCAGCUCAGCUUCCUUGAUCUUACUGCUUUCCUCCUACCUUGCCCUGAGGGCAGCAGAUUGUAGGGGAUGAGGUCUGUGCAAGAAGUCGGUGCUCCUUGUGCUGCCCUCAGCCAGUGCAAGCUCAAGAUCUACUCCCUUGAUGCUGUCCCAUUAACUUUGCAUGUAGCACCCCCAUCUGCUAAGGAAAAGGUUUGCUUUGCUUGGUUCCUUGAGUAUCUGGCACAGCUGAGUCACACACCAGUUUUCAGACACUAGUGCAAGUAAUUACUAUUUGCAUCCCAGGGAAAAUUGUCUCCUGUUGGCAAAAGCUUCUCCUGUUGGUGUGGGAGAGAAAUGGGGUGUGCUGGACAGUGGCUGCGGCCCAGAUCACUCUGGCUUGCUUUCUCUGCACCCAACAGACUUUGUUAGCGGCCCUCAGUCCCUACAAUUGCAAAGUGGAUCAGCUGAGGCUGUGGAAACUGGGUCACGUUACUGAGGAGGAAUACAAAAGGACAGUGUGUGAGCCUGGCAGGACAGAACCAAAAGGCCAAGGCACAGAAUGAUUACAGAACCAGGAAGAACACAGGAUGAAAGGAAGCUACAGUAUGGGUGUAUCAGAUGCAAGAGGAAGGCAGGGAAGUGCUGGUCCCCUCCUCAGUGAGGAGGGAAGGCUGUGGAUGAAAUGUGGAGCAUGCUACAGUGUUUCAUGAUGAAUUUCCUUCAGCUUCAAUUAAACUGCCUGGCAGCCAACACAGAAGAAUGCAAGAAAAAGAAUGUGGACUGUUCUGAAAUCAGCUAGGUGCAGAGAAUGUCACUGUAGGGUGUGUAGAGAAAAGGCUGGAACAGUCCUCAGAGCUGCUCACUACUAUCUUUGAGACCUUAAGAAGAAUGAGGGAUGUUGUAGGAAUACAAGGAAAACUGUUAAGAGCAGCAGCUAUGAAGUAAGAUAAACAGCAUGAGAACCAAGGCCACCUCUGGAAGAAGAGAAAAAGCAGAAGGAACGGCUGGUGGCUGUGAUUGGAUAAGUGCCUGCAUGCACGGUUAGGGAGUGCUUGUAGAAUACCCUGUUGUCAUGUAAAGGUGGAUGGGGAAGUUGUAAGGGCGGCUGGGAAAGCUAAGAAAGGAAACUUGUGAAUGUAUAUAAGUGAUGUGAGAACUUGUAAUAAACGAUUUGGAUUGUUCACAUCUGAGUCCAUGCAUCAGAUGCUGCAAGCAGUGCCCACUGCGUGGAGCAAAUCAAGAGCACCUCUGCUUCUUGGUCAUUGAUCACACGGUGGAUGCUAACCCUGAUCACCAUUGCAAGAACAUUACAUGGCGAAGCUGUCCAGGCUGUACCGAAGACUCAGGCAUGAUGUAAUGACCAGAAACAAGUUUAUUUGAAUAACAGCAUCUCAACUCAAUCAUCAGAUCCUGCAGUUUAUUAGGUGUUUCCGUGCUGCAGACAUGGAUGUAGAAUUCACUAGGAGAGACAAUUAAAUUCACAAUUGAGUGAGCCUGGUCUGGCAGCACCACCCGACAGAAAGAUUGUUUUGUAUGUCCUGCACCGUUCUGCAGGACGGAAGGAUUCAGCAGGUGGAAGGAUCUCUUCUUAAGGAAGUUAACAGCCCUGCCUUGUUUGCACAGCUCAAGGACUGGCCCUAUGUAGGUUCCAGCACGAUAUGUUUGGCCUCAUCUCAAGGCAGAAAAUAGCAUCCAGCCCUUAUAAUGGCUGGGAUUGCAUGUUUCCUAUUGGUAUUGUAAUUUGUUGUUUUGUAAAUAACUUAUAGGUGCCAUAAUGAGUGAUGAAAAACAGCUGCAUUACACACUGGAUGGUAUUAUAAUAACAUCAGUAAUGGUAUGAUAAAGUGGGUGAUUUCUCUGUGUUACCAAUGCAGUCUCAAAAAUUAGAAUUAUUAGACGUUACCUAGGUUGCUGUGUGCAUCUUCUAUGUUAGUAGUAGAUCAAAUGUGAAUUGAACAGGAUUUGAUGUUACCAGUGCUGGAAUCUAUGGGAAUAGCUCUUCCAGUGUAUUAGUAAUGUAUGGCUAUGAUGCUAUUAGCCUAUCAAUUAGCCUUUUCUAAAUUGGAUGCCUGUGUACGUAUGUUGACUAAGACUCAUAACCCUCUGUGCUGCUCUGAAGGCAUGGUUUGCUUGCCUCUCUGCUCCUGCAACAUCCUGUCUCUCAGAUCCAAGCGUAUCUUGAAACAGUACUGCUCAAGCUUUAGCCACAUUCACCAAGUUAGGAUGUUAGCCAGCUAAGGAAAGUAAUGCCCCUAGUGAUACUCUAGCACACUUGCCCACUAAUAUUGAUUCUCACUGACAUGCAACUUCAUAAAGUUGUAUGACCAUUAAUUUUCCAUUAGCCCAAAGGCACAGUAGUGAGCACUCAAAAAGCAUUUGUUGCACAAAUUUUAGUGAUCAUUCAAAAUCAAUAUAUCAGAGUAGAUGGAAGUUGAAGACUUUUUCUAACCAGUUAUAGAUUAAUACAGAAUGGGACCCUCAGGGAUUCUUUUCCAGGUUGCAGAAACUUGGGCUGCGGGCCAAAUGUGUGUUCUUUUUAAUGGGUUUAACAGUAUUUCUUGUCGUUAUGCUCUGUUUGCCUUGUCUCUUUUCUUACGUUUAGAGUAUUGUCAAUCGAGGCCUUGAUUGAGUUAUAAUGGUUAUUAUUAAUAUAAUCAGCGUUAUUAUUUUAUAGUAUGGUAAUAGAUUGCUAAUAAACAAAAAAGGAGGAAUCGUGGUAAUACAAGGAAAACUGUUCAGAGCAGCAGCUGUGAAGCAAGAUAAACAGCAUGAGAACCAAGGCCACCUCUGGAAGAAGAGAAAAAGGAGAAGGAACGACUGGUGGCUGUGAUUGGAUAAGUGCCUGCAUGCACGGUUAGGGAGUGCUUGUAGAAUACCCCGUUGUCAUGUAAAGGUGGAUGGGGAAGCUAAGAAAGGAAACUUGUGAAUGUAUAUAAGCGAUGUGAGAAUUUGUAAUAAACAAUUUGGAUCGUUCACAUCUGAGUCCGUGCAUCAGAUGCUGCAAGAUGUGUCCUGGUGAAGACCAAAAAUAAUCCCUUAAAGUGGGGGUAAGGAGGCUCCAGAAAGGUGCAGACCAGUGAGUUUAAUUUGCUCUAGUGUUUUCCUGGAAAGUUGGCACAAAAUGAGGUCAGCAGCACUGUGUUUGAGCCACUCUUAAAUCAUCAGCAUCAUCCGCUGUUAUGGUGCAAAGAGAAACAGUGGAUAUGGUGUAACCUGGUUUUAAUUAAGCAUUUUUUUGUUGUUGUUCGCUUGUAUUUUCAUAAAGAAAAUGCAUCAGAAGGAAUUACCACUUGGUGGUUGUCAACUGGUUGGAAAACCAUGCUGGAAAGUUGUUUCAUGUCAAAACAGAAGGCUGUGUAAAGUGG